GAUUCCGUAGGUGAACCUACGGAAGGAUCAUUAUUGUAUAACCGAGGUGCGAGGGCUGUCGCUGACCCGAAAGGUCGUGCACGCCCGAGUGCCCUCACACACAUCCAUCUCACCCCUAUGUGCACCACCGCGUGGGUCCCCCUUUGGCUUGUUCGGAGGGGGGCUUACGUUUUCACACAAACUUUGUAUGCAGUGUAGAAUGUAUUUUUUGUUUUUGCGAUCACGCAAUCAAUACAACUUUCAACAACGGAUCUCUUGGCUCUC
rnacentral:misc_RNA from 1 species